CGGCCGCGUCGACCGGAAGGGCACCACCAGGAGUGGAGCCUGCGGCUUAAUUUGACGCAACACGGGAAACCUCACCAGGCCCGGACACCGGAAAGAUUGACAGAUUGAGAGCUCUUUCUUUGAUUCGGUGGGUGGUGGUGCAUGGCCGUUCUUAGUUGGUGGAGCGAUCUGUCUGGUUAAUUCCGAUAACGAACGAGACUCUGUCCUGCUAACUAGGCGGGUUCCUCGUCGCCCGUGGUUGCGUGCGAUGCCUCCGGGUGUUGUGCGUGCUGCGGUCCCCGGCGAACCGGUAUCCCCGAACGCGGUCGGUCGUCGUUCACAGCGUGUGUGGUCGCGUAGUUGCUCGGCAACGGGUGGCCGCGUGAUUGCAUGCGUUGCCGGCGAUCUUCAGCCGCCAAUAGGGCUACCGCCGGCUGACAAAGCUUAAACUCUUCUUAGAGGGACAGGCGGCGGACACAUAUAGCCGCACGAGACUGAGCGAUAACAGGUCUGUGAUCGCCCUUAGAUGUUCUGGGCCGCACGCGCGCUACACG
rnacentral:rRNA from 1 species